UAUGCACGCUGGCGGCGUGCCUAAUACAUGCAAGUCGAGCGAACAGACGAGGAGCUUGCUCCUCUGACGUUAGCGGCGGACGGGUGAGUAACACGUGGAUAACCUACCUAUAAGACUGGGAUAACUUCGGGAAACCGGAGCUAAUACCGGAUAAUAUAUUGAACCGCAUGGUUCAAUAGUGAAAGACGGUUUUGCUGUCACUUAUAGAUGGAUCCGCGCCGCAUUAGCUAGUUGGUAAGGUAACGGCUUACCAAGGCAACGAUGCGUAGCCGACCUGAGAGGGUGAUCGGCCACACUGGAACUGAGACACGGUCCAGACUCCUACGGGAGGCAGCAGUAGGGAAUCUUCCGCAAUGGGCGAAAGCUUGACGGAGCAACGCCGCGUGAGUGAUGAAGGUCUUCGGAUCGUAAAACUCUGUUAUUAUGGAAGAACAAAUGUGUAAGUAACUAUGCACGUCUUGACGGUACCUAAUCAGAAAGCCACGGCUAACUACGUG
rnacentral:rRNA from 1 species